rnacentral:lncRNA from 1 species
UUAUGAAGGGUAAAUAGCUUUGGCAUAUCAUCAUUGUGGAUGUCACGUAGGUAAGAAGGCGUUCUUGCUAGAAACCCAAAUCAGCCGCGUAAAACUUGCAACAACAAUUAGAGGACGUCUAACUUGUUUUUGCAGGGUUUGACAUGUGAUGUGAUAUGGCCAAAGUUGUGAUGUUGCAUGUAUGAUGUAUGAGAUGAUCAUGUUAUUGUAAUAGGUUUCACGACUUGCAUGUCGAUGAGUAUGACAACCGGCAGGAGCCAUAGGAGUUGUCUUAAAUUUAUUGUAUGAGAUGCAACGCCAUGUGCUUACUACUUUUACUUCAUUGCUAACGGUUAGCUAUAGUAGUAGUGAUAGUAGUAGUUGGCGUGAUGACUUCACGGAGACACGAUGAUGGAGAUCAUGAUAAUGGAGAUCAUGGUGUCAUGCCGGUGACGAUGAUGAUCAUGCGAUGCCUGAAGAUGGAGAUCGAAAGAGCAAAGAUGAUAAUGGCCAUAUCAUGUCACUAUAUGAUUGCAUUGUGAUGUUUAUCAUGUUUUACAUCUUAUUUCUUAAAAUGACAGUAGCAUAAUAAGAUGAUACCUCUUAAAAUUUCGAGAACGUAUUCCCCUAAGUG